UCUACGGGAGGCAGCAGUGAGGAAUAUUGGUCAAUGGUCGCAAGACUGAACCAGCCAUGCCGCGUGCAGGAAGACGGUCCUAUGGAUUGUAAACUGCUUUUAUACAGGAAGAAACCCUCCCACGUGUGGGAGCUUGACGGUACUGUAGGAAUAAGGAUCGGCUAACUCCGUGCCAGCAGCCGCGGUAAUACGGAGGAUCCAAGCGUUAUCCGGAAUCAUUGGGUUUAAAGGGUCCGUAGGCGGUCUUAUAAGUCAGUGGUGAAAGCCCAUCGCUCAACGAUGGAACUGCCAUUGAUACUGUAAGACUUGAAUGCUUAGGAAGUAACUAGAAUAUGUAGUGUAGCGGUGAAAUGCUUAGAUAUUACAUGGAAUACCAAUUGCGAAGGCAGGUUACUACUAAGUGAUUGACGCUGAUGGACGAAAGCGUGGGGAGCGAACAGGAUUAGAUACCCGAGUAGUCC
rnacentral:rRNA from 1 species